rnacentral:rRNA from 1 species
UACAGAGGUCUCAAGCGUUGUUCGGAUUCAUUGGGCGUAAAGGGCGCGUAGGCGGCUUCAUAAGUCUUGGGUGAAAGCCCUCGGCUCAACCGAGGAAUUGCCUUGGAUACUGUGAAGCUCGAGGCUGGAAGAGGACAGUGGAAUUCCCGGUGUAGCGGUGAAAUGCGUAGAUAUCGGGAGGAAGACCAGUGGCGAAGGCGGGUCUCUGGACAGUUCCUGACGCUGAGGCACGAAGGCCAGGGGAGCAAACGGG